GAGCUUAACCAGGUAACAUCACCACCGCGCUGUGGCCUGUCAACGGCGGACAUCAACGAAUGGACAUCACCUCUGGUAUCUGCCUUUCUGCUUCCCCACUGCAUCAACUGAUCUCCUGAAUCUCUGAAGCUUCUUUUUUUCUGACCCCGGCAUGCAAGAAAUAAUUUGUCCUUCGACAAAAGGAGGAAAGAGGCCUCUAGUCCUGGUCUGUCUACACGCUGCCUGGCUGAAGACUGGCAGGGAGCUGAGCGUAUCUCUGGGUUUUUCCUUUCAUGGCGCCUUGAAUGACCAGAAUCAGACUGGAUGUGGUUCUCUCUCGCUUGGGCUCCAGGGAGAAAUUUGAGAAAAGUUCCCCCCUUUUUUCCUUUCUCCCUCCAGAACCUUUUUUUUUUUUACAUUCUUCCUUUACCACUCUAUUCACAACGGGUGAAGAGUUACAUGAUGCAUUUGCGAGCCUAGAACAUGUUUUAAAUUCGUUAAUAAAGGUUGUUCUAAGCAGUUUCAAUUGGAGCCAAAUGAUACAGAUCCUUUAGAAAGGUUGAAAACAUCCGCUCCAUGCUCUCCAGUACCCCUGUCCUCCAGCCACCCGCUGUACCUGCUCUGUUGCACCCGACCACUCUUCUCCCAAGUCCUUCUGCCUCCCCUGUUACAUCCACUGAAUCCCAUGGGACUACCCACCUCCUCAGUUGUUUCAUGGAUACUAAUCAACAUGAGAUUGAUGUUCUCCUGAGGAAGAUGAAGCCCUCCACCUGUGAACUGGACCCUUUUCC
ensembl:lncRNA